GAUGAACGCUGGCGGCGUGCCUAAUACAUGCAAGUCGAACGAAACUUCUUUAUCACCGAGUGCUUGCACUCACCGAUAAAGAGUUGAGUGGCGAACGGGUGAGUAACACGUGGGCAACCUGCCCAAAAGAGGGGGAUAACACUUGGAAACAGGUGCUAAUACCGCAUAACCAUAGUUACCGCAUGGUAACUAUGUAAAAGGUGGCUAUACUACCGCUUUUGGAUGGGCCCGCGGCGCAUUAGCUAGUUGGUAGGGUAAAGGCUUACCAAGGCAAUGAUGCGUAGCCGAAUUGAGAGGUUGAUCGGCCACAUUGGGACUGAGACACGGCCCAAACUCCUACGGGAGGCAGCAGUAGGGAAUCUUCCACAAUGGGCGAAAGCCUGAUGGAGCAACGCCGCGUGGGUGAAGAAGGUCUUCGGAUCGUAAAACCCUGUUGUUAGAGAAGAAAGUGCGUGAGAGUAACUGUUCACGUUUCGACGGUAUCUAACCAGAAAGCCACUGCUAACCACGU
rnacentral:rRNA from 1 species